rnacentral:ribozyme from 1 species
AGCAAAAAGGAAGUAUGCACAGUGUUCAGCAUGAGUCAGUGCUGGUAUUUAUUAUUUUUUUUUCCUUUUCUUUUUUUUACAUUUUGCCCGUUUUUUCCCUCU